rnacentral:rRNA from 1 species
UUGAACGCUGGCGGCAUGCUUUACCCAUGCCAGUCGAACGGCAGCGCGGGCUUCGGCCUGGCGGCGAGUGGCGAACGGGUGAGUAAUACAUCGGAACGUGCCCAGUAGUGGGGGAUAGCUCGGCGAAAGCCGGAUUAAUACCGCAUACGACCUGAGGGUGAAAGCGGGGGAUCUUCGGACCUCGCGCUAUUGGAGCGGCCGAUGGCAGAUUAGCUAGUUGGUGGGGUAAAGGCCUACCAAGGCGACGAUCUGUAGCUGGUCUGAGAGGACGACCAGCCACACUGGGACUGAGACACGGCCCAGACUCCUACGGGAGGCAGCAGUGGGGAAUUUUGGACAAUGGGCGAAAGCCUGAUCCAGCAAUGCCGCGUGUGUGAUGAGGGCCUUCGGGUUGUAAAGCACUUUUGGCGGGAACGAAAAGGACUGUGCCAAUACCACGGUUCGAUGACGGUACCCGCAGAAUAAGCACCGGCUAACUACGUG